UUAUUAUUAUUAUUAUUGUUUCCUUCACAUUAGGUGGGCGAGCCUAAAGUGAUAUACGUCACUCAUUGGGACAGCCAAUGGUGAUAUGACCACAGUCACAGAGCUGGUCUGUGACAAAUACCUAUUCUUGAAAGUUGGUUGAUAAUAAACAUAUGUAAAAACUCUUGAUACUGUAAAUUAUAACAAAUGUGUCGUUUUCAGUAAAUAGAAUGAUUCACUCAGUAUUUCCCCGCUGACAAAACCUUUUUCAAACAUGUUUCAGGUGAUCUACUGUAAAUCAGGAAAAGUGCUGAGGAGCAUUUCAAGCUUAAAAUAGUGGCUCAGUAUAAAAUAAAGAAAUAUGUUUUGAAAUAAGGAUUUAUCACUAAAACUUAUGUAUUGUAAAUUAUCGGGGU
rnacentral:lncRNA from 1 species